rnacentral:rRNA from 1 species
CAGUAGCCACGGUAAUACGUAGGUGGCGAGCGUUGUCCGGAAUCAUUGGGCGUAAAGGGAGCGCAGGCGGGCCGGUAAGUCUUACUUAAAAGUGCGGGGCUCAACCCCGUGAUGGGAGAGAAACUAUCGGUCUUGAGUACAGGAGAGGAAAGCGGAAUUCCCAGUGUAGCGGUGAAAUGCGUAGAUAUUAAAAAGAAUACCGGUGGCGAAGGCGACUUACUGGGCUCAUUCUGACGCUGAGGAACGAAAGCGUGGGUAGCAAACAGGAUUAGAUACCCGUGUAGUCCCUGUCUCUUAUACA